GGUGAAAUGCGUAGAUAUAUGGAAGAACACCCAGUGGCGAAGGCGGCUGUCUGGUCCUGUAACUGACGCUGAGGCUCGAAAGUAUGGGUAGCAAACAGGAUUAGAUACCCUGGUAGUCCAUACCGUAAACGAUGAAUGCUAAGUGUUGGAGGGUUUCCGCCCUUCAGUGCUGCAGCUAACGCAUUAAGCAUUCCGCCUGGGGAGUACGGCCGCAAGGCUGAAACUCAAAGGAAUUGACGGGGGCCCGCACAAGCGGUGGAGCAUGUGGUUUAAUUCGAAGCUACGCGAAGAACCUUACCAGGUCUUGACAUACUAUGCAAAUCUAAGAGAUUAGACGUUCCCUUCGGGGACAUGGAUACAGGUGGUGCAUGGUUGUCGUCAGCUCGUGUCGUGAGAUGUUGGGUUAAGUCCCGCAACGAGCGCAACCCUUAUUAUCAGUUGCCAGCAUUAAGUUGGGCACUCUGGUGAGACUGCCGGUGACAAACCGGAGGAAGGUGGGGAUGACGUCAAAUCAUCAUGCCCCUUAUGACCUGGGCUACACACGUGCUACAAUGGAUGGUACAACGAGUUGCGAACUCGCGAGAGUAAGCUAAUCUCUUAAAGCCAUUCUCAGUUCGGAUUGUAGGCUGCAACUCGCCUACAUGAAGUCGGAAUCGCUAGUAAUCGCGGAUCAGCAUGCCGCGGUGAAUACGUUCCCGGGCCUUGUACACACCGCCCGUCACACCAUGAGAGUUUGUAACACCCAAAGUCGGUGGGGUAACCUUU
rnacentral:rRNA from 2 species